rnacentral:rRNA from 1 species
GUCCAGACUCCUACGGGAGGCAGCAGUGGGGGAUAUUGCACAAUGGGGGGAACCCUGAUGCAGCGACGCCGCGUGGGUGAAGGAGCGUUUCGGCGCGUAAAGCCCUAUCGGCAGGGAAGAAGGAGGACGGUACCUGACUAAGAAGCCCCGACUAACUACGUGCCAGCAGCCGCGGGAAUACGUAGGGGGCAAGCGUUAUCCGGAUUUACUGGGUGUAAAGGGGGCGCAGACGGCAGCGCAAGCCAGGAGUGAAAGCCCGGGGCCCAACCCCGGGACUGCUCUGGAAACUGCGGCGCUGGAGUACGGGAGGGGCAGGCGGAAUUCCUGGUGUAGCGGUGAAAUGCGUAGAUAUCAGGAGGAACACCGGCGGCGAAGGCGGCCUGCUGGACCGUGACUGACGUUGAGGCUCGAGAGUGUGGGGAGCAAACAGGAUUAGAUACCCGAGUAUA